rnacentral:misc_RNA from 1 species
GAAGACAAGAAGAGCGUUGUGGGGUUUAAGAACUGAGGCGCUAAGGCUUUGAUAACUUCUAAGUUCUCAUUUCCAUUUCCUUUCAAAUCUGUACUCUUCGAAGCCAUUCAUUCGCCAUGUGGUCUCUUCGUCGAGCUUCCAAUUCUCUCAAGUUCCGGGGAUUGAGUGUAGUAACUUCUCGAGUUAGUUGUGCUAAAUCAGAAAUAUUUUCUAAUAAUGUUGAAGGCUAUUCUACAAUUUGCGAGUAUCCUCAAGCGCUAUCCAGCAACAGAUGCCUAUUUUACCACAAUGAAGCUAUUUGUUCAAAGUUCUAUAUGGUGAGCCAAAGUAUGUCUUCACAAGCUGGUGCAGAAAGCAGUGAAUCAGAAGAUGACUUAGAGGAUGGGUUUUCUGAACUCGAAACACCAGUUAGUGAUAACGCAAUUGAAGAAGGGAAUGCAGUAGGUGGGAAUGAAGAUGAGUUAGUUUCUGAACCUGAGCUUUCUGAUGAUAAUGAUGAUGUUGGAGAACACUCUCAAAAUGCAAUGGAAUUAUUAGAUACUGAAGCAGAUUCAGAUGUGAAAGCAUCAAUGAAGAAAAAAGUUGCCUCAGAACUGUUUCGAGCCAUCAUUUCUGCUCCAGGUUUGUCUAUCAAUGGCGUUCUUGAUAAGUGGGUGGAAGAAGGAAAGGAUUUGGAUCGGGCAGAGAUCUUACUGGUCAUGCUUGAUCUUCGUAAACGUCGAAUGUAUGGGAGGGCCCUGCAGGUGAUUUCUCUAGAUUCUCUUUUUCUUUCUGAUACAUGUGUUAUAUAGGUGAUAUUAUCAGUUUUUUGAGGGUUUCAGGGCAGCCAAAUAUCCGUUUAACUUAAUUAUUGGUUAGCUAUUCAUAUGACUGUAUUUGUGCCAACAGACAUGCAAAUUGUGAUUUGAAAGUACUAUUAAUUAUUUUAACUGUUCCAGUGCAAUAAUUUGAUGAAAGAUUCAAAAUUGGAUGUUAAAUUGUUUUGUCUCCACUUUCUCCUCCCUCCCUGGGCAUUUGUGCCUGAUACAUUAGAUCAAAACUGAUUUUCCUAUAUUCCCUGCAAUGAUUUUCUCUUGUUUCUUGAUUGGGUCUCAAAUGAAGAGGAAAUAAUUGCAGUGGAAAUUUAUUUAUUUUUCCUAAUGAGUUUUAUGGAACAGAGAUCAAAUCUGAGUUUGUAGAACAUAACAAAUUGGAGGGCGAUGACAUAUUUUGUGUCUGAAAUCUGCAAUUUUUUGUAGGAUUUAAGGCCUGUUUGUUCUGAAAUCUGUGAUUGUUUGCAGGAUUGUUUAGAAAGCUUUACACUAAGAAUUCCUUACACAUCAAAACCCAGGGUUCCAUAGACAUCUAACCUAGGAUAAAAUUGCAUUGUAAAAUUUGAUGUAGGAAAUCCUAAAGUUUGUAGAGAGUAUUUAUAGAAUCAAAUAAUUCUAAACUUUUACUUUUGUAGACUAUAUACUGGACAAAAAUGCUUUACAAUCAUGAGUAUUUAUGGACAAAUAAUUCUAAACUUUUACGUUGCCUGUUACUUGUUCACUUAUAUUUGUCUGUUGUUUCGCCAUAGUUUCUGAAUAUUCUUUUUUUGCUUUUGUUUGUUGGUCCAAUUCUUACUUCAUUUAGCAACCUUUGAAUAGCACCCUUAAGAGCACAUGUCCUUUUUGUCUUAAUUUGUUUUUAGAUAUCACUAGUUUUUUCUGAACUUGUUCUACAGUUCCUAGAUGCAUUAUGCAAGGACUUCCUGAUUUUCUUUUACAAAAAGAGCUUCUGUAAACCAAACAUCUUUCUCUUUUAGGUAGGAUUGUAAAAGUAUGAACUUGGUAUUACUUCUAUACUUUCAAACAUUUAUUCUGGCAUUAGAUGCAAGACUUACUAUUAUGCUAGUAAUAGCAUGAGUAUGACAGUUACGGCUUGGCCUUUUCUGGUCAUUGCAAGUGUUAUGGAGUGCCUCUGCACCUUUUUGCAUUUUUAUUUUUAUCUUCUUUUGUUUCUGUAGCUAUCAGAGUGGUUGGAGGCCAAUAACCGACUGGACUUUAUUGAGAGAGAUUAUGCUUCUCGGGUUGAUUUGAUUGCAAAAGUGCGUGGUCUCCACAAGGCUGAGAACUAUAUUGAGAAAAUCCCAAAAUCAUUCAGAGGGGAAGUAAUCUACCGAACUUUGUUGGCCAAUUGUGUUGCUACUAACAAUGUGAAGAAAGCAGAGGAAGUAUUCAACAAAAUAAAGGACCUUCAAUUUCCAGUCACAACAUUUGCAUGUAACCAGCUGCUUCUCCUCUACAAAAGGGUUGACAAGAAGAAGAUAGCUGAUGUUUUGUUAUUGAUGGAGAAAGAAAAUGUCAAGCCUUCACUUUUCACUUACAAAAUCUUAAUAGAUAUCAAAGGCCAAUCUAAUGACUUAACAGGGAUGGAUCAAAUUGUAGAGACCAUGAAGGCUGAAGGCAUUGAACCUGAUAUCAACACCCAAGCAAUUAUUGCCAAGCACUAUUCUUCUGGUGGCCUCAAAGAAAAAGCUGAGGCUACUUUGAAAGAGAUGGAAGGAGGAAACUUAAAAGAGCAUCGUUGGGCCUGUAGGGCUUUGCUACCCCUAUAUGCUUCACUUGGAAAAGCUGAUGAAGUGGGGAGAGUUUGGAAGGUCUGUGAGUCGAAUCCCCGGCUAGAUGAGUGCAUGGCUGCCAUUGAAGCUUGGGGAAGGCUAAAGAAAAUUGAUGAAGCUGAGGCAGUUUUUAAUAGGAUGCAUACGACUUGGAAGAAGCUCUCUUCAAGACACUAUGCUGCACUUUUGAAGGUUUAUGCAAACCAUAAGAUGCUAGCCAAAGGAAAAGAUCUGGUCAAGCGAAUGGCAGAUAGUGGGUGUCGCAUUGGUCCAUUGACUUGGGAUGCUCUUAUUAAGCUUUAUGUUGAAGCAGGGGAAGUGGAAAAGGCCGACUCUGUACUGCAAAAGGCUGCUCAGCAGAGCCAGCUGAAGCCAAUGUUUAGUUCUUACUUAGCUAUUAUGGAUCAGUAUGCAAAACGGGGUGAUAUACAUAAUGCAGAAAAAAUUUUUCACAGGAUGAGACAAGCGGGAUAUGUGGCUCGACUUAGGCAAUUCCAGACUCUAAUCCAGACUUACAUAAAUGCCAAGGCCCCAGCUUAUGGGAUGAGGGACAGGAUGAAGGCAGAUAAUAUAUUCCCAACCAAGGCCUUGGCUGCCCAGCUGGCGCAGGUUGAUGCAUUUAGGAAGACGGCAGUUUCGGAUUUACUUGACUGAAGAUUUAGAUGGUUUCUGAUGCAGUUAAUAUCUUAAUGUCAACUAUUUAUCUAUGUGCAACCAUCUUCUGUUUUUGGCGGGUGACACCAUUUUGGUGCUUUUAUAGACCUUUGCAGCAAAUUGUGUUUGCAUUUCUUAGGGAUAUGUUUUAGCUCAUAUGCUUGUUACUUGUGCUCCUGCAAUUCCCAAAUUUCUAAAUGCUAUUUUACUCAAGGGAAAAUUAUGCA